rnacentral:tRNA from 1 species
GGCGCAGUUUUCAGCGGCAAGAGGAACAACUGGGAACUACGGGAGCGCAUAGACGCUCAAAUUUGUAAUCAGGGGGCCACGGGUUCGAAUCCUGUAGCCGGCACCA